rnacentral:lncRNA from 1 species
UUUACUCGUGAAGCUGGGGCCCGGGAGCCGAGCCAAGCCGCUCCCCGUCUGCCUGGGCCCGGUGGCUGCGAGCACGGCGUAGGGCGGUGGGAGUGAGGUUGGGGCCGGGGCAGCGCGCGGCUCACUUGCUUUUUCUGGAAACUCCCUUUUCCCAAGGAAAGGAAGAGGCGGCGAGGGCCAGGCCCGGUGCGACGCGAGGCGGCGCGGAGCUGAGCGGAGCCCACAGAGCAGGCGGCUGGAGCAGCGCAGCUACGAGUGCGGACGGUGCGGCUGCUGGGAGAGCUUGUUCCAGAGAAGACCGCUCAUAUGCUCGACUUACUGGAAAGGAAGAUCUUAAGCAGCAAGAAAAUAAAUGUUGCCUUGAGCCAGAAUAUAAGUGACACAAUCGUCAACUACUUAUUAAAAGUGUGUCUUUCCCGGCUCCUGGAAGCUGUUGCUGCCGGUGAGUGUGGGAGUGUGAAUCUAGCAUCGAAACUGGACGACCUCGUAGUGCUAUUGUCUUCACAGAUGAUUUGGAAAGUUAUCAAUUCAGAUUCACAUACACUUCAGAAUCACAAUAUGGCCUUGAAGUCCUUCCAUAUUAUGAGUAAGAACACAGGGGCCCUUGGCCUGAGCUAAUCAGUGAGGAGGGAGGGGGUUAUGUGGGCCACCUUCAUUUCUGCCUAGCCUGGAGACUGCCAAGGCAAG